rnacentral:rRNA from 1 species
GAUGAACGCUGGCGGCGUGCCUAAUACAUGCAAGUCGAGCGAACGGACGAGAAGCUUGCUUUUCUGAUGUUAGCGGCGGACGGGUGAGUAACACGUGGAUAACCUACCUAUAAGACUGGGAUAACUUCGGGAAACCGGAUCUAAUACCGGAUAAUAUGUUGAACCGCAUGAUUCAAAAGUGAAAGACGGUCUUGCUGUCACUUAUAGAGGGAACCGCGCUGCAUUAGCUAGUUGGUAAGGUAACGGCUUACCAAGGCAACGAUGCAUAGCCGACCUGAGAGGGUGAUCAGCCACACUGGAACUGAGACACGGUCCAGACUCCUACGGGAGGCAGCAGUAGGGAAUCUUCCGCAAUGGGCGAAAGCCUGACGGAGCAACGCCGCGUGAGUGAUGAAGGUCUUCGGAUCGUAAAGCUCUGUUAUUAGGGAAGAACAUAUGUGUAAGUAACUGUGCACAUCUUGACGGUACCUAAACAGAAAGCCCCGGCUAACUACGUG